AAGUCGUAACAAGGUAACCGUAGGUGAACCUGCGGUUGGAUCAUUACCAAUAAUAAAAAAAACAAUUAAGAACGGACGUAGCGUGAACGGAGGCUUGUCUGGGGGUGAGGCUGGCCGAGCAGAAGCUUGUCAUGUCUCCGGGGGAACCCAGCGGGCCGAAGGGAGCGUGAACCGUUCCAAAACAAAAACCACAAUGUGAAUCGUGCUGUCCCUGGCGGCGGGGGCAAAGUCCAGGGGAACCCCUGUGCUUUGGCCCGUCAGCCUGCGUGGUUUCCGCCAGGAAACCUGCGGGCCGUGGACAAACCGCCAACCAUGUCAGUAAACAAUUUUUUCUAUUGUCUGACUCAAUCUUUCUUUGAGACUAGUCUAGUCACAAAGAGAACAAUUUAAAACAUUAAACAACUUUUGGCAACGGAUCUCUUGGCUCUC
rnacentral:misc_RNA from 1 species